rnacentral:rRNA from 1 species
CCUACGGGAGGCAGCAGUAGGGAAUCUUGCGCAAUGGGGGCAACCCUGACGCAGCAACGCCGCGUGUGGGAUGACGGCUUUCGGGUUGUAAACCACUUUCAGUGAUGACGAAAAUGACGGUAAUCACAGAAGAAGGACCGGCCAACUACGUGCCAGCAGCCGCGGUAACACGUAGGGACCAAGCGUUGUCCGGAUUUAUUGGGCGUAAAGAGCUCGUAGGCGGUUCUGUAAGUCGGAUGUGAAAACUCAGGGCUCAACCCUGAGACGCCAUCUGAUACUGCAGUGACUAGAGUCCGGUAGAGGAAGAUGGAAUUCCUGGUGUAGCGGUGGAAUGCGCAGAUAUCAGGAGGAACACCAAUGGCGAAGGCAGUCUUCUGGGCCGGUACUGACGCUGAGGAGCGAAAGCAUGGGGAGCAAACAGGAUUAGAUACCCUGGUAGUCCAUGCCGUAAACGUUGGGCACUAGGUGUGGGGUCUUCUAACGGAUUCCGUGCCGUAGCUAACGCAUUAAGUGCCCCGCCUGGGGAGUACGGCCGCAAGGCUAAAACUCAAAGGAAUUGACGG